AAAUAAAGUUUAACCGGGGACCUCAUGGAAUAAAUUAGUUCGAACCAGGUCAGGACAGGAAUGUAGCAGCCUUAAGAAUCAUACUUAUGCCUUGAGAUAAUCUCCGGUUUUUUUAU
rnacentral:SRP_RNA from 1 species